rnacentral:rRNA from 1 species
GCGUGGCGAGCCUCUUUUAGGGGGAGGAGAGGGAGAGACGACGCGGGUUUUUAGCGGCCCUAGGCGGCGUUGGUCGUUGUCGCUCCAGCGGUACCGCGUCUGUCACUGCUGCUGUCCUCACCGCGUGUAGGCACCCCGUCCGGCGACGGUACCUCUACCUCGAGGAAGAGGGGUGCUGCGUCUCCGGGGUACCUCGGAGGGAGGAAGGGGCCACUGAAGAAGAGUCCGGGGUGGGGAUGGAGACGGGAGGAGAGGAGACGAAACUCGACACGGUACAAGACAAAGUCUAGGUAGGUGGGUACCUACUAUAUACCGUUUAAUCGAACCAUCUGUCAAUCACCAGGUCCCAGGUUCAAAUACGUAAAGAUAGUACAUUGAAUAGACGUAAAACAUGAAGUCCGAAGUCAAGAUCGUUGGUAAAACGUAGCUACCUAUAACAUUCAGUACAUGUCGAAGCAAAAACGGCAUCUAUGGAAUGUUAAACGAAAUCCGAUAAAGGAAGUAAUUUCGUACAUGGUUAUUAAGAUUUCGAACAAUUACUCGCCGCCCCUUCAUGAGACGUGUAAAGUCUCCGGUCAGAGAUCUACGACCAACACACACACACAUAAUUAAUAGAUAUAGUCUAUACAUACUACCGCUUCAUAGUUCACUUUUGCGACUAAGUCACUUUUAGACCUUUGAGUGGAGCACUCAGUAGUCUAGUUAUUUCUCGCCGUAUCUAGAAUCCAGCAUAGGGUGGUCGGUGAAUUUGUGAUUAAUCGUUUAUUGGGAAAGUAAAUGCGUGGUCCAGGAAUGCAAAGCUGAUGCUAGCUAAGCAGAAAGUUAGAGCAGCCGUUUUACCUCUGAACGGGAUGCGGCCGGUGCUGCCCGGGAGGCAGCUGGCACUUGAUGAGGGAGGCGGCCGGUGCUUCUCGGGGUGCGGUCGGUGCUACGCAGGAGGCGGCCGGUGCUCCCCGGGAGGCGACCGGCACUUGAUAGAGGGAGGCGGCCGGUACAAGGGACAGCUGCGUAGCCACGGCGGAGAGGUCCUGGAGCGAGGAGGAGCAUGACACGGUACGGAGUUGGAGCAGAAUCGGGACGUGUCCAUUCGUUGUCGACGAAGCCAAUGACUAACAUGAUUAUACCCCAGCCAGAAUAACGGUGUUGUAGGAGUAUAGGGAGGUGGACUACCAUCUUGUUCGUGAUGGACUUAGUACAAUUGGACUUACAGUGUCAACAGAAAGAAGUCAACAUGAAAACUUCAUAGACCAAACCAGAAAGAACAAACGUAGAAGCAGCCACAUGACAUCGUACAUGUAGUCAACGGCCGUCAUCUUAUACAUUUGACCUGAACAUUUAGGAUGAACUCUCGUCAUCCCAUUUAAGGUUUUUGUUUUUUAUACCCUACUCAAGGGUUUAAUUUUUCCCCUACCUCUUCCCUUCUCUUUAUUCUUACCUCUCCCCUUCUUUUUACACCCUCCUGGCUUUUUCGGAGCGUGGACGUCCUGUACAUUGGUCCAACCGAAGGUACUGUCAGCAUCAACGGGGGUUUUCUUAGUUGUUAUUAUUUCCAUCAAUAGUAUGUGUGUUUUAUCGAUAUAAUAAAGUAUUAAACAUACAAGUAAGACUGACAAAAAAAAUACAAAUAGACGUCCAAGGAAAUAAAGCUAAGCUCCGUUGGUGUACAAAAAUAAAACCCGCCAUGUUCUAACUUCAGCUUCGGAGUUAUAAAAGAAGAGACUUAAAACAUGAAGACUCUUAGUAGAUCAAUACAUCGGAGUUGGAACAUCAAUUAAUUCAGUUACGGCAUGGAUAGUAUAGCUAAGACCGGCAUGAAUCGUAUAGCUAAGACCUACAAUGAUAACCACUACUU